AAUUUAUUUACCGAAACAACAUAAUGAAAUAUGAUAUAUAUCGUUCUUUAGAAUGAGAAGCUACAAAAUAGAAGAGGCAUAAGUUUAUAUGGAAGUAUUCAUAUAUCCUAGGCCGGGUUUUUACAGAGCAAUCACGGACAUGCCUUUAUACGUCUAUACAAAAUGAUCUGCGCAAGAAGGCUGCACAUAUGGAAGUAUUCAUAUAUCCUAGGCCGGGUUUUUACAGAGCAAUCACGGGCAUGCCGUUAUACAUCUAUACAAAAUGAUCUGCGCGAGAAGGCUGCUGUAAAAGUAGCAAGGAUUAAAGUAAAAAAUGCAUCACAACAAUUCAUUACUAAACAACGGAAUGAAAUACGAUAGCUAUCAAUCCUGGUAACAGGAAGCUACCAAAUAUAAGACGACCACAUUUAUAUUAUUAUUUUGCGGGUAGAGGAUAACAUUUAUAUGGAAACAUUCAAAUAUCCUAGGUCUGUAUUUUGACCAUGUAAUCACGGAUAUGUCGUUAUACCCCCACCUUCUCCUUUUACUCCGCAUACAAGUUUGGUCAAACUGAAAAUGGAAAUGCAUUAUGUUUGAACACUGAAACCCCUCCUUGCAAAAGAAUCAAUUAGAGCACCGGUCCUCAUUCAAUCUGAUCUCUGACUGUGAGCUAUUUUUGUUCUCUAUAAUUUAGCUUGGGGUUUCCACUUGUGUAGAACUGUAACAAAUAAAGCAGGGCAUGUAGCAUGGGUGCAGCUCCUGUGCUGGGCACUAUUGACAUGCUUUGCACACGUAUAAUAGGCAUGGGCAAAGGUGAGAGGGUCAUGGUGUACUGCACGGCCUGGAUGUGCACUGUGUGUAUGCGUGAGGCUGUAAAGGAUAAUAACAAUGUGUAGCUUCUCGCUUCAGUCAUAAACAGAAAAAUACAAAAAUGAACUCAACACAAAGCUAGUGCUGGGGGAAAACCAUCGAGUACCUUGUAUACAUCCUUUCUCUGGUUGAUUCUUGCUAUCGAUUCCUCUACGACGAGCCAAGAUCUGAGUCUCAUGUGUGUCCACAGGGGGAAAACAGAGGCGAGCGAGACUCCAGGC
rnacentral:lncRNA from 1 species